UCCGUAGGGCGCGAGCGUUGUCCGGAAUUAUUGGGCGUAAAGAGCUCGUAGGCGGCUUGUUGCGUCUGCUGUGAAAUCCCAGGGCUUAACCCCGGGCGUGCAGUGGAUACGGGCAGGCUGGAGGCAGGCAGGGGAGAAUGGAAUUCCCGGUGUAGCGGUGAAAUGCGCAGAUAUCGGGAGGAACACCGGUGGCGAAGGCGGUUCUCUGGGCCUGUUCUGACGCUGAGGAGCGAAAGCGUGGGGAGCGAACAGG
rnacentral:rRNA from 1 species